CAGAAACACCUAAUAAGAGUAAAGGCAAAGAGUUCCUGAAUAUAUCACAUGUGAUAAACAUGAAGAUGUAUGAAAAAUUGUGUUCGUUGAGAGAAAAUGGAAGGCUUUUCAUUCUACUUCCACAUUUUCAUUCCAGCAGCUUUUCUGUUUUGGAAGACAAGGAAAAUGAAGCGCAGAGACGUUAAAUAACUCUCUCAAGGUCAUGCAGCUGAGAAGAGAUGAGACUUGAACUCCAGUGCCAGCCCUGUUAAUCACUAUUCUGUACUGUCUUUCAGGUUCUUAUGCCUUUGUUUGAAAAACAUGGUUCCCUGUGAAAUUUUACAUGUAGAAGACAGCUUCACACUACGAGAGCUCUCAGGAUAUAAUUAUUUCAGACAGAUGCUGGGAACAUAAGAUGGCUUAUCAAUCUAAGAUGGCCUUCCUGUCCUUCGGAUUGAACUGAAACCAUCCCUGAUUCCAGGGAUAGGUAGAUGAUCCAGGUUUGGACAAUCGAAAUAUUGAACCACCCUGGACCUACAAGUGUUUCUGGGAUGGGAACGUGCAAACGUUGGUCCAAAUUGUUGUUCUAGGCAGCCCAGUACAUUUCUCCAAUGCCUGAUGGAAUGAUAGGGUACGCAUAAAUGUUCAUGUGGGCUCUGGAGUAUACCAGGAACUGAAGUAAGGUACAUGGACGUCUUGAAUAUUGUAACUGAGAUGGGCAAGCCUACACCUUUGCAAAUAAAGGAGGAUUGGGAAAGAUUAAGAAUGAUUGAGUCUCAGAAUUGUUCUUUAAUCCUCAGUAUUUCCUUUAAGAAGAGCUUCUAUCAAGUGCUUCAAAAGUACCCAAUGUGAAGGAGUAAUAACGACUCCCCUGCUGGUACUUCCUAAGCGUGGCUACUCCAAUGAAGCUUUAGUAUAUGUACUGAAAGAAGAUCCUCUCAUACUGCCACAGCCAACAGAUAAGGUUGUAAAUCUUUAUUGGGAGAAGCCGUCAAGGACAGUUCUGUGAAAUGAAAGGAUCUCUGGAUCACCACAAAGUCUGGCUCAGUGACUAUGGCUUUGCUAACACUAAACAUUCCUAUCUCAAGUCCUGUAGAUGGCUUGAAAUAGUAUACAUAAGCAUGCCUUAUAAACAUCUUCAGUCUUUAUCAACUCUUUGGAGAUUCAGCCAUUCUUUUUUGUACUUUAGGGAAUUAAAUCAUUUUAUAAUGUAUAAAUCUGAGCAUGGCAGAUGGCAG
rnacentral:lncRNA from 1 species